GGCUGGUCUGAAGGUAGUGAGUUAUCUCAAGUGAUUGUUCACCAUCAUUUACAGAUUGAAUUCCUCGUUCUACUCUUUUUCCCCUUCUCAUUACUGCACUUGUCUGGUCUAAA
ensembl:Y_RNA Y_RNA Y RNA